AUGAACGCAGGUUCAAACUCUGCUAUCUAUGGCAGCUCCUUUCAAAGCCGUUUCAUCAUGACCGAAGAUGUGCCCAGCAGCACUCAGUACCUCGAGAGAGGAGGACAGAGAACAGUGGACACACAGUUCAACAUGAUGGACUACAGGACAGGACUGCUGCUUCUAACUUUCUGCUGGGCAGGUGUUGAUGGUCAGACUCUGACAGAAUCUGAACCAGCAGUUAAAAGGCCUGGAGACGCUCACAGAUUAACAUGUACAACAUCUGGAUUCACAUUAAGCAGCUACCAUAUGAACUGGAUCAGACAGGCUCCUGGAAAAGGACUGGAGUGGAUUGCUUUUAUAUACACAGGCAGUUCUUAUAUCUAUUACUCCCAGUCAGUCCAGGGUAGAUUCACCAUCUCCAGAGACGACUCCAGCAGUAAAGUCUAUCUGCAGAUGAACAGUCUGAAGACCGAGGACACAGCAGUGUAUUACUGUGCUAGAGACACACAGUGA